ensembl:lncRNA
GGGCGAUUAGGUUGCGGCCAAGCUGGGCAGCGGGCGGAAUUAAGUCCCUACCAUCUGCCGAGGAAUAGCGCGGAAGCAAGUCCGGGGCUGUGGGGAGGGGGCGGGAUGUACACAAGAGAAGCCAAAGGGGAAACUGAGGCGAGCGCCGCUUGCCUCGCUCCCGCCGACCGCGAAGCGAGGGACGGGCCUGGCCAGGCCCCAGGCCCUCCGGGAGCAGCGCAGCACCUCGAGGCCCAGAGCACUGGCGGGGGAGGGAGCGGGGGAGGGGCGGCCCCGCGCGGCUCCCGGCCCCCGGCCCCCAGUGUCCCAGCUCGGACGCGCCCCGGCCCCGGCCCUGGCCCUUGCCCGCCGUGCGCGGCGCCGCCUCCUCCACGCGGACCCCGGAGGCUCCCCCGGGAGCCGGGAGGGUGCAAGGCGUGCGGUGGGCCUGGGACGCGAGAGGAGUCCUGGGGGGGCCGGGCGCUGACCUGCGCCCCGGGAUGCAGGCUCCGCUCUUGGCUCGGCCCGGCCCGACCCGGCCCGGCUCCCCCGCCCCCAUCCCCGGUCACGGACACCAUUUUAGGUCGCGACAUCCCGCAGCCUCCACUCCGCAGGCCGCGCUACGGCUGCCUCUCGGGCCGGGGGCGCCAGGACUCGGGGUCCCCGACCCUCCCUCCGCCUUUACCCGGCCAGGAGCUGUGCUUUGGCCAGGCCGGGAGUUUGGCCCAUCCGCCCGGGGACGGAGGAGGCGUCGGGCCUUCUGCAGGGCCGCCCCAGGGGGCGGCACGGACGAGAAGUGCGGGCCGAGACGCAGCCGUCUCUACCCAGCUCCAGCAGCAGCCGCCGCCGCCCUCCCCGGGGCCGCCGCUACUUCCUGCUUCUCUACGGUUCGGCCUCCCUCCUCCCUCCUCCCUGCGCUCCCUCCGCGCCCCUGGCCUGAGCUGCCCGCUUCCAUACUCGCCAUUGGUCAGUUCCCCCGUCGUUCAGGUAUGCGCCCCGCCCCACCUCGCGCUGGGUUGGUCUUAAGUACUGUCGCUCGGAACUAGCCCCGUGGAUUCCGCUCAUCCUCAUUGGGCGAGGAGCCUAGGCCCCCUGAAGAAGCCUCUCCCCAUUGGCCGCUCCGAAGUCCACAUGCCCCGUCUGCGCCUCUCAAGAGCGAUUGGCCGCCGCUACUGUCGCUCUUCGAAAGAAGCCAGCCUGAUUCCCCCUUCUCGGGCCGCAGGGUAACUCUCCCAGGUGUGACUCCGCCCCCUCCGCCCUAUUGGCUGCCCGAGGCUGCAGGCUGCAGUUCACUUAGGCAAAUUUAAAGAACUCUGAGCUUCGGUGCGGUGGGUGCUUGGAGGAGAACCGCGCCGACUGCGAGGGAACAUAGAACUCUGGAUCUGGCCGCGCUGUUUUCUCGGAGACCGAGCCCCACGUCAGCGUGGCCGCACAGAUGUCGCAGCGUGGGCCGACGCUCCAGGCAUGACGUCAUCUGCUGACCACUGCCCACCGCCUCUGACGUGUGGCCGGGCGUCACCUGCGGCUCCUCCCUCUGUGGGGAGCUCGGACUGGUACAGGAUUUGGGACAUGGACGGGCCUGGGGCCCGGGGCUGGGCCUGGCUUGCGGACCGGAAGUGGGGCAGAGGUGACUCCGGGAGAGCCGGCGGGGCUGGGCAGCCGGGCCCGACCGCAGGCCACAGACCGGAAGGCUGAAGACGGAAGCCGCCGAGGAGAGCAGGAAAAUAGAAGCACCCUGGGAACCUGUUCCCCCAAUUCCCGGGGGCGAAACAGCAGCCAGGCUUGAGAGAGAAGCGAACUUCCCCAUCUCAUUUCGGGCUUGUUUCCCGCGGCCGUCACCCACCCGCGAGCGACUGCAGGUGGCGCACAGAUGGCAGGGAGUGAGACGAAGCGCACAGCGAGAGCCAAGGCAGCCCGAGCUGGGGAGGAGCAGGGCACCCGGGGGUGACGGGGUGCAGUCACGGAGUCAGUUCCCCGCCGCCCUCAGAAAGCAGUUACGCUGCGUUUCUGUGCGCUAAUUCCUCGCUCUUAGCAAAGCUCUGAUUACUUUUUAUUUGUUUGUUUGUUUGUUUGUUUGUUUAUUUGUAUUGUGGGUGUGGGUGUGUGAGACGGGGGAUGAAGGCCAGGGCCUUCAUACUGACCAACAUCCCCCAUUCUUUUUUUAUUUUUUAUUUUAAG